rnacentral:tRNA from 1 species
GGCCCCGUCGUCUAGCCAGGAUAGGACACAGGCCUUUCAAGCCUGCAACACGGGUUCAAAUCCCGUCGGGGUCA